GGAAGUAUAGCGCAGUGGUAGAGCACGUGCUUGGCGUGCACGAGGUCCUGGGUUCAAUCCCCAGUGCCUCCA
rnacentral:tRNA from 1 species